GAUGCAGAGGAAUGUUUUGUCAUAAGCCCUGCAUUUUCAAUCUAGUUUUCACAUCAUAUGCAGACACAGGGUAACAUGGUCAACAUGUGACUGUGGGAUCCUUUCAGAAGCUGUCCCGGCUGGCUACCAGAGCCUUCAGCACAACAACCAAACAGAUGAAGAACAAGGUGCCAGAUCGUCAGAAACUAUUCCAGGGGAGCAUGACAUCAUUAGGACACCUGGGUGAGAAACAAUCCCAAACGAGGAAAACAAGAGGCGGACAACGGCUUGCCAGUCCACAUCAAGGGAGGGACCACUGAUGUCCUUCACUACCGGCUAACAAUGACCAUCACCCUCCGCAGGCACUGGAUAUUCCUUAUUCUGGAUUCUACCUGCCUGUCAGCCCAAG